AAAUCCAGUGGUGGAUUUGGCUGUGUUAGAUUUAUGGUUGGACUCGAUUUUAAAGGUCUUUUCCAACCUAAAUAAUUCUGUGGUUCCUAUCACUUGUGUGGAGACGCACAGGGCUAGGGUCCUAACUAGAAGAGGAUAAGUAGGAUACAGUAUUGUCUUGUGAGAACUAUGGUGUUGCACAGAUUAGUAGCUUCCAAUAUUUUAGAAGCUGCUCACUGAACUCGGGUAAUACAGGGGAGAAUCUGAAACUCUUGACACCAUAGAAGGUUUUUUUCUUUUAUCUGUGCAUUAAGUUUGUUUUGGUCUAUGAUUCAGUUUUGCUGUAGUACCCAUUUGUACUUGCUUAGAGAUUCAUUGCAGUAAUAUGCAACGAUGAGUAAGGCUGGGUGGUUUGUUUUGGGUAGAUAGUAUACAGCCAGCGAAUGGGUAGAAUGUAUACAGUAUACAUUGCUAAUCUUAAAGAUCAGUAAAAUGAGUUUUUGACUGUUUAGCAUUACCUGGAUUUCGGCCAUUCACUUACAGGCUUGAUGAAGAUAAUUGCAGAAGAGCAAAAACCACUGAUUCUUGUGGAGCUUCUGAAGCAAGUAUUGCAGUGGCUGAGGCGCAGCAAAAUUGGUGGAGUCUAGCAGCUGAAGACAUUUUUAUGUAUCUUUACAAGUAAUCUUGUUUCUCCAGGAAAAGGAAAUAUGAACUCCAUUGCCAGUCCCAAAGGACUGGAAAAACUCCUACAGUUUUAGAGGGAGACAGUUUUAUUUGUCAUGACCCCAACUUCUUGACUGUAAUUUCUCAAGGAGAACAGUUCCAUCCUGCAGAAUCUUCUGCUUUGUUACCGCACUUACUUGAAUCACUACAUCAUGGAAAUGUACAGUAGAACCAGUGGAAUUUUUAAAGGAAACCUUAGAGGUAUGUAGUUUGUGAAGAUGUUAUCAGGAGGGACAGAAGUGCCUAGGAAUGGAGACGUGUAACAGUGAGUGUGAAGGUGGCAAAAUACCUAAACCAUCGGUAUCUCUUAUAGCUACUCAAAUUAUAUAAGAGGCUAGAUAAGGAAAGAGGUUGGUUGUUUAAUGAACAUGUUAAAAAGACAAAAAAGAGGAUUGUUGUGUCCUUCACAUGUCAACGUUGCCCCUACUAAAGCUUCCAACUCUCUGCAGCCUAGUCAGCAGAGUGCAACAUGUGCUUUCUAGUUAGUGUUCAGUUGUGGAACACUCACACCAUUUAAGAGGUCAGUGUUUUUUUUACCUAGAGGCAGAGGAAAGUCACUACAGUUGGUCUGUUUUUCAGAAGUCUGUACGCAUAGACCGGCUGCUGAAAAAACUGACUGGUGGUCUGUGGUCUCACUUUUGUAGCUGACAGCUUUUAUUGUUUUUGAAGAAUGCGUUUUCCGAAAGAGAUGUGUCCGUAAGAGGAUGGCGUGCUAGGGUAAAUGGUAAUCCCAACAUAAGCACCCAGAUAAUUGGAUUUGAUUCAGUAUUCAACAAGGCAGUAGUGUGAGCAGAACACAGGGUUGCUGUGCUUGCAGAAGCCUGCACAGAGUCUGGAUAACGUCAUAAACACCUGGAACUGAGAUGAAGGCACAAACUCCCUAUCUUUUAGGUAGAGUUAUGUUGUAUGUGUUUAAGCAUUAAAUAUGCUGCAGUACACUUAUGAGUAGAGGGAAUAUUAAAAGUGCAGCAGAGAGACUGUGACUUAAGGCAUCUAACUACAAAAAGAGCUUUGAAAAAUUCUUCCUUACAGUUCUAACUAAAUAAAAAAAAAAAAUCUGCAUCUUACUGUUGUUUAUCUGUAAGUAUGCCACUUCUUACAUGUAUUCUCAAAGUGUUGUUGCACUCUUGAGGAAUCAUUAAAUAGGCAAAUUCUUUGUCCAGAGUAGACUCUGAAAGUUUCAGUUUAGUUUCUUGCUAAAGGGGAUUCUUAAUAAGAAAGUAUAAUGUCGUUGGGCUGUACUUAAUAGAUGCUAGAUUCCACCAAACCUCCACUGAAGUCCUUCACUCCAUAAUUUCUUACUAGUUUCCAAAUAAAUAAGGAUCCUGGUGUGUUCUUUUUUUACGUAUUUAAUUCGGCUUUGUUAUUUUUUAUUUUGUGCCUUUACAGCAAGGAAAGCUAAUGAUAUUCUAGGUACUGAACAGAAGGGUGCAUUGCUGGCUCAUGGUCAGUUCAGUGUCCAUUAGGAACCUCAGCUUUCCAACUGGCUGGCCCCACGCUGUACAGGUGUUUGGGAUUAUUCCUACCCAGGUGCAGGACUUUCCAUUUUCCUCUGUUGAGCUUCACGAGGUUCCUAGAUUGUUUUCAUUAAAAACAGAGUGAUGUAGUGAAUCCAAUAACUGCCAUUCACAUCAUUAAAGAUGGUCAGAAAAUGCUGGAAAUGUUUGCCUUAUCAGGCUUCCAGGACGGCAGAAGUGACUGGAACACUGUUGUUACAGAGUAUAAAUAGGAAGAGGGUAGCUAACAUUAGGACAAAGCUUAGUUGCUUUGGAACUUAGAGCUUCUGAUGGUAAAUGUCUUCCCUAGCACUUCCUGAACUGUAGAAUUGCUUCCGAAUAUGAUAGCAGUUUUGGGUGGUUGCAGCUUCCUGCUCCAAAUUCUAGCUGUACUCUUUGCUGUUCCUGCAGUUUGUAGGUGAAUCCCAAAUACUACCUUAAAAGUGUCUGUAAACAUUUAUUCUUACUAAGCUCUUAUAGGGUGUGGGUUUUGGUUUUUUUUUGUUUUUUGGGUUUUUUUGAGGCUAUGUUUCCUUGUUUGCACUUGAAUGGAGUCUGUUGUAUUAAUUAUGGAUUUUCACUGCAGCAUUUUUAAGAAUGUUAACAGUAACAUUGAAUAUUUCAAAUGGCUUCAUACAUGGCUAACUGUGCAGUGCAUGCACCUCUGCCUUUGAUUCAAAAUGUAAAUGUAGUAGAUCAUGUUGCACAAAGAGCCCUUGUAAGAACUUCAUUUCAGGAAGGCCAGUAAUAUUCAGAGUUGAGGUUUUGGUAAUUUUUAGUUUGUUUCUAAAGCAAGUAUGAAAAUAAGGUCUUUUUAUAUAGCUCUCAAGGUUCAGUUGAGGAACAUGAACUGUACCUAUAAAGAUGUAUAUAGUCUUCAAAAAUAACCCACAGUUGUUGUACAUGUAGGCAUCGAGAGAGAGAGAUGGAAAUCAAUUUCUUCUAGUCUGGAUAAAACUUGAACUUAAAUGUGUUAUUAAGUUCCUAAAUAAUCACUCAAAUUUCAGACGGGACCAAAAAUUCCUCUGGAGUCCUUUGCAAGCUAUAAAGUAGGGCACUUUUAUUUAAAGAUGAUCUUUUAAAUGCUAGUUCUUAUUUUUUUUAUAUUUAUUGUUUGUAUACUGUAUACCAAAUACAUUCCUUGGGGUUCUAGGGUAAUAUGUAUUCAUUUGAAGGAAGGCUGCACUUGAAAGAAAGACUUUUCUGAAUCACAUUUUAAUUUUUAUGUUUCAUCAAGGUAGGCUACAUCCGUAUUCACUUACUGAGUCCCUGCAUGAUGUUUCUCAAACCUGUUCCUCUGAUUGGCCAGGAACAGUCACAUAGAUCAUCAGGAGUAUGUGAACCUGAAACAUCAGAUGGAGAGAAAAAUCAAAGAACUGGAAGGAGAUCUUGCUUGUUAGAAACAGACAUGAAGAACUAGCUCAUGCUGCCAAGGAAAAGGAUGCAAUGCCAGCUUCAACGAAAGAAGCCCAAGUCAAACAAUUUAAAGAAUUGAAGCAGCAGAUAAGAGAACUGCAGGUAUAAACAAAUGUCUCUGGCAGCUGAGCAAGAAUGGAUACUGGAGCAGAAUAAAAUGCAGGAAGAACUGGAUUGGCAGCACCUCUGUGAGAAUGCAGAAAGUAAUUGGUAUCAGAAAUCAGAGGAUCUAACACAAAGCCUGUCUUCAGCAAGAGAGCAGAUAGUUCAGUAUGAUGAUAAAAAUUCUCUAAGCAAAAGUAUUCCUACGUUGGAAAUAAAAAAGCUUCAGGAGCAGAAUGCCAACCUUCGGGCUGCUGUUGCACAAAUGAGGAAAGAAAUGGAGAGUCUUGAUAAGCAGAUGUCCUCUCUUCCUUUGACAGAAAAUGGACAGGUUGCGGAGCAAGGUUUAUUGUGCACAAACAAAAUUUCAACUGGAACCACUUUGAGCAAUGCCAAAGUCAGCUCAGCUAACUUGGAUUGUAUGGUAAACAGAGGCACAGAAAAGGGGCCAAAAGGCAAAGUUCUUGAAGAAAAGAUGGUAGAUCUUGGACAACAGUUUCCUGACAUAGGUCCUGAUGUCGGUCUUCCGUAUGGUGUCAGCAGCACUCUACAAGGAAUGCAAAAUAAACUGAAGGAAGCAGCCAGACAAAUUUCAAUUCUGAGUGAGGAGAAGCAGCAGCUGAUUGAAAUGGGAAAUGGACUCAGGGCAGAGCUCAGAAUGGUGUUAAAGGAAGGACUUUUGCAUCCUGUUAGCUCUAAGCGCUGCACAGUUUGUGUUGUCUCUGGUAGUCUUUUUCCAAGAGAGCUUGUCAGAAGAAUACAGUGUCAACUAUCAGCUUUAAAGCAUCUACAGCACAGGCUUAUGAUACAGGAGCUGCAGUAUGCAAAGCAGCAGCAUCCCUCAAGGAUAUCUUCUCUAAUUGUCUGCCCUGGCUUAAAGGAUGAAGAAGCUCCAAGCAGAUCUGGGGAAAAGAUGGAAUUACCAUCCACUGAGGCAGGAAAACACACCCAAAGGUCUUCAUGGGCUCAAGCAUCCUCUUUCAUAUCUUCUACGUCUGUAGGUAGCCACUAGGUGGCAAGCUGAACAACAUGAUUCCACAUCAAUAGCACGAGUCCACUAAACUUUUGCUACCUGCAAUAACAAAUGCCACCAAGCUGACUCACUGCAGAGACUGCACACACCAGUGGAAUUUGAAGUUACAUGUUCUGAAGAAUCUCCGCAAAAUAUAAAAGCCAAGGAUAAACUUGAAAUGCCAGCUGCAGAUUUGACAGUCAGAGGAACCAGGCUGGAAGUUCAGCAGAAGUUAAAAUCCAGGAAUUUGUCUUAUGAUUAUCCCAUAAAACCAAAAAUCUCUUCUAAGGUGGCAAAAAUCCGCAACUAUAAUAUUAAAGACUGAUUUAUUUGUUGUCAGCAAGUUCUGGAUCCACACUUGCUAUUAACUUACUUUGAAAUCUGUAAAUCAAAUCUAAAUAUCAGCUUCAAUUCUGUAUGUUGAGUUGGGAUGUUUGCAGCCAGAAGAUAGAACAAAUACCAUGUUUCAUACUGUGAACCCUAACGCAAAGGGUUAAUCUGUGUAUAUUACUGGUUAAUACAGAUUUACUUUAAUUAUAUGUGUUAAAUAAUGCUUGCAUCAUGGAUUUAGGAAUGCCCAGUUAAUACAUAUGUAAAGCCUUGUGCCUCUAAGCAGGGCUUGCAGGUCUUUAGCAAAUAUUUUGUUGAGAAACUGUAGAUGUGAUUUAAGCUUAGAAGUGGGAUGCCUUAACCUACUAGUUUUCUUAUAAUUAACAAUGCAACCGUUAAUCCUGUGCAGCUAUCUCUCUACUUGAAAGAAGAGGGGUUGAAAAGAUGGCACCUGAAUCUGUAUUUUCUCUCAUCUUCUGCAGCUCUUUCCACUUACUUAGACAGCAUGAAAGAGUAUAAAAUUAAACUUCUAUUGUUAUACCAGUAAUUAUAUUUUCAUUUAACAAGAGAUUGUCUAGCGUUUAAAGCAGUGAAAAACAUGUUCAUUAGCAACACUUAGAAUCAUACAGAAGCAUUGUAAGAAGUAAGUCUUACAACAGAAGAAAACUUGGAUGAGUUCUGAGGUAAUGAAGGUUAUCUAUAUAGUUGUAAACAUGCCAGGAUAUUGAAACAAGUAAUUGGUGUAUUUUUGUAACAUUUCCAGUAAUGCUGAGCUGUCUUGGGAUAUUAUACUGAUGAACUUUACUAAAAGUAAAGGAAAUACAUAUUAAAAAUGCAAGAAAAACCUUAUUUACUGUGAAGAUGGUCAAGCACUGGAGCAGAUUGCCCAGAGAGGUUGUGGAGUCUCCAUCUCUUGGUCCAUCUGUGGACCAACUAGACACAGUCCUGGGCAGCCUAUUCAAGCUGACCCUCCUUUUGCUGAGGGAUUGGACUAGACGAUCUCAAGAGGUCCAACCUAAGUGAUUCUGUGAUUCUGUGAGUGGUAUCACCGAAGUGAAUAAUACUUCUCAGUUGCUGCUAGAAACAUAUAAAAUCUAAACAAGAUUAAUGAAGAGAGCUACUUACCCAUAAGGGUUUUUUUUUCCCCUGUAGCACUUUUCUUUUUAGAAAUGCUUUUCUGGUUCUUUUUGCAAACAGCUGCUCUCUUUGGCAUCUGACAAAGUGGUAGUAAUCAUUUCGAGAAUUUGAAUAAUUAUUUUUCUGCUCCCUGCUGAAAAUGUUUUGGUUUAGUGCAAAGGUGUUAUAUUAUAAUCAGAUGCUAAAUCUACAAUGAAUUUCAUUGAGAAGUUACCAAGCCAAUAUGAGGCCUGAGAGACCUUGUGAGCUUCUUUCUAAAUCAUUUAAUUACUUGAAAAUCCUGUUGCUGGAUUCAACAUUUAACAUUGUUCACAAGCCGGAACAACAUGAUGCAUUCCCUUGAACCAGGCCCUGAAUGAGCUCUUUCUGUAGCUCAAAGCAUAGUGGUUUCUAACAAGUGCAGGAAUUUUGGCCCAGAUCACACCAGUUACAGCUCUCUCUGGUUAUUCUGGAACACAAUGUGUCAAUUCCAAAGUUUUGAAUAGCUGUAGGUAAUCCUGCUUUUUUUUCUUUUUUUUUUUUUUUAAUUUCCAGUUCCAUGUUCAAUAUUGAACUGUGGAGAUACACAAUAUUUCAGUGCUAACAGAUUCUGUGCUUUUACAGGUAUUAAAAGCCCUUAGAAAAAAAAGCAGUUCGUUCCAUAAUCUUUGCAACACCACAUCUGAUCCUGGAAAACAUUGCUCUUCAUUCCUUACAUCAUGGAUACAAGCUCACGGGCUGCAGACUUCAGAGUGCCUUUGUGCAGAUUUCUUUGCUGGUUUUUAAGGUAUUUUGUUUGCUGCUUUGAGGGGUUUUGGUUUUCUUCCUGUGGUUGGUUGGUGUGUCAUUGUCAUCGUCCCCCCCUCCCCAGCAUGUCACCUGAUAUGCCUGGUCAUGCAGACAUCUUGCCAGAAAUGCAACUUUAAUUUAUUAAGUUUCCCUGAGAAACAGGUUUCCUUAAGGGAAUUGUAGGUAAGGGAAGGUGAUAGCUCUUGAUUGUUUCAUUUUGGUUUACUUGUAAUAGAAAAAAGUAGUUCAAUCAUUGUACAUUUGUUUCAAAGUAACUGUAAUAAGUAUGAAAUCAUAUAAGUAUGAAAAUUAACAAAGCAUGCCUAAUAACAAUAAAUAACAUGAACUAUUG